rnacentral:lncRNA from 1 species
GAGCCUCAGAAUUAUCCCACCUCGCUUAACUUGGGAGGAGGAAGCCACUUUAAAAUGGAGAGCCACCCUUCCCCCAUUAGACUAGUCUUUUGGGGCGAUUGGGCCUUUCCCUGAGCUGGGUGUGCUUAAUAAACUGUUGGGCUCCGGGCAACCCUAAUUUGUUGGGCCUCGGCCAACCCCACUUGGGCUGGGUGUAUCAUCUGGUAUCAGAGCUAGGGCCCAUUUUAAGAAGGUGAGAAUGAUGAGGACAUCCUCCACUAUUACCCGUUGACAAAGACGCAAUUGGCCCAGUUGGUCCAAUUGUAGUCGGACGGUGACCGUGUGAGCCUCAGAAUUAUCCCACCUCGCUUAACUUGGGAGGAGGAAGCCACUUUAAAAGGGAGAGCCACCCUUCCCCCAUUGGACUAGUCUUUUGGGGCGAUUGGGUCUUUCCCUGAGCUGGGUGUGCUUAAUAAACUGUUGGGCUCCGGGCAACCCUAAUUUGUUGGGCCUGGCCAACCCCACCUGGGCUGGGUGUAUCAUUUGGUCUACCUAUGGGUAUUGGUAGCAUCGUGAUAUUUUUCUUCACAUAGAAUGACUUCUUUCAAAAUGAAUGAGCCCACGUCCUCAAUUUUGUUGUACAAUAGACCUUAGGUCAAGUCGUCCGCCUUUUUUAGUUGAAAUUCAUGUAAAAGAUGUUUAUAAACAUCAUAUAUUUACACUUGAUAAUACAUUUACAUCUUUAAUGACAAAACUACAUACAUGACUAUUACUAAUAAUACCUUAUCAAGGUUCUUGAUAUAUUGUUCAUUCUCUAUCAUGAACACGCACAUAAAACCCAAAGAGGAUAUUGAUCCGGGUGGUUGCUUGUGGUACCACAUAAC